rnacentral:rRNA from 1 species
AUACGGAGGGAGCGAGCGUUAAUCGGAAUUACUGGGCGUAAAGCGCGCGUAGGCGGCUUUGUAAGUCGGAUGUGAAAGCCCUGGGCUCAACCUGGGAAUGGCAUUCGAUACUGCAUGGCUAGAGUAUGGUAGAGGGAAGUGGAAUUUCCGGUGUAGCGGUGAAAUGCGUAGAUAUCGGAAGGAACACCAGUGGCGAAGGCGACUUCCUGGGCCAAUACUGACGCUGAGGUGCGAAAGCGUGGGGAGCAAACAGGAUUAGAAACCCCAGUAGUCC